GGGAUUAUGGCUCAGUGGUAGAGCGCUUGCCUAGCACAUGUGAGGCACUGGAUUUGAUCCUCAGCACCACAUAUAAAUAAAUAAAUAAAUAAAGGUAUUAUAUCCAUCUUAACUACAAAUAUUUUUUUUAAAAGUUACCCUGAAUGAAAGAGAGUGUUCAAUUUCAACUAUAGAUGUCCCU
rnacentral:tRNA from 1 species